UACGUAGGGGGCGAGCGUUGACCGGAUUUAUUGGGCGUAAAGAGCUCGUAGGCGGUUUGGCAAGUCGGGUGUGAAAACUCCGGGCUCAACUCGGAGACGCCACUCGAUACUGCCAUGACUUGAGUCCGGUAGGGGAGUGCGGAAUUCCUGGUGUAGCGGUGAAAUGCGCAGAUAUCAGGAGGAACACCGGUGGCGAAGGCGGCACUCUGGGCCGGUACUGACGCUGAGACGCGAAAGCGUGGGGAGCGAACAGG
rnacentral:rRNA from 1 species